AUGGCCAAGGGAGCGGUGAUGCUUCUUGUGCUAUUCACGGUGCUGUCGGCGGUGAGCGAAGCCCAGCUGCAGCACCGGGCCGGUCACAGGACCUUGUCCCACGGGCAUCGCCGGUCCGCCGACCCAGCGGCGCCGACACAUCUCCACUUCUUCUUCCACGACACCGUGAGCGGCGCGUCUCCGUCGGCGGUGCGGGUGGUGGGUCCGGCCGACCCGUCAUCGCGGACCUUCUUCGGGAUGGUGAACGUGAUGGACGACCCGCUGACCGAGGGCCCGGAGCCCGACUCGGCGGCCGUCGGCCGCGCCCAGGGCCUGUACAUGGGGGCGGACCAGGCGGAGCUGGGCUUCCUGCAGACCAUGAACCUCGUGCUCACCUCCGGCCCCUACAACGGCAGCACGCUCGCCGUGCUCGGACGCAACUGCCCGCUCACCGACGUCCGCGAGAUGCCCGUCGUCGGCGGCACCGGCGCCUUCCGCUUCGCCCGCGGGUACGCGCAGGCCCGGACCCACUGGCUCGACUUCAAGACUGGCGACGCCACCGUCGAAUACGACGUCUACGUCAUGCACUAG
rnacentral:rRNA from 1 species